GAUGAACGCUGGCGGCGUGCCUAAUACAUGCAAGUCGAACGCUUUGUGGUUCAACUGAUUUGAAGAGCUUGCUCAGAUAUGACGAUGGACAUUGCAAAGAGUGGCGAACGGGUGAGUAACACGUGGGAAACCUACCUCUUAGCAGGGGAUAACAUUUGGAAACAGAUGCUAAUACCGUAUAACAAUGACAACCGCAUGGUUGUUAUUUAAAAGAUGGUUCUGCUAUCACUAAGAGAUGGUCCCGCGGUGCAUUAGCUAGUUGGUAAGGUAAUGGCUUACCAAGGCGAUGAUGCAUAGCCGAGUUGAGAGACUGAUCGGCCACAAUGGGACUGAGACACGGCCCAUACUCCUACGGGAGGCAGCAGUAGGGAAUCUUCCACAAUGGGCGAAAGCCUGAUGGAGCAACGCCGCGUGUGUGAUGAAGGGUUUCGGCUCGUAAAACACUGUUGUAAGAGAAGAAUGACAUUGAGAGUAACUGUUCAAUGUGUGACGGUAUCUUACCAGAAAGGAACGGCUAAAUACGUGCCAGCAGCCGCGGUAAUACGUAUGUUCCAAGCGUUAUCCGGAUUUAUUGGGCGUAAAGCGAGCGCAGACGGUUAUUUAAGUCUGAAGUGAAAGCCCUCAGCUCAACUGAGGAAUUGCUUUGGAAACUGGAUGACUUGAGUGCAGUAGAGGAAAGUGGAACUCCAUGUGUAGCGGUGAAAUGCGUAGAUAUAUGGAAGAACACCAGUGGCGAAGGCGGCUUUCUGGACUGUAACUGACGUUGAGGCUCGAAAGUGUGGGUAGCAAACAGGAUUAGAUACCCUGGUAGUCCACACCGUAAACGAUGAGUGCUAGGUGUUUGAGGGUUUCCGCCCUUAAGUGCCGCAGCUAACGCAUUAAGCACUCCGCCUGGGGAGUACGACCGCAAGGUUGAAACUCAAAGGAAUUGACGGGGACCCGCACAAGCGGUGGAGCAUGUGGUUUAAUUCGAAGCAACGCGAAGAACCUUACCAGGUCUUGACAUCCCUUGACAACUCCAGAGAUGGAGCGUUCCCUUCGGGGACAAGGUGACAGGUGGUGCAUGGUUGUCGUCAGCUCGUGUCGUGAGAUGUUGGGUUAAGUCCCGCAACGAGCGCAACCCUUAUUACUAGUUGCCAGCAUUUAGUUGGGCACUCUAGUGAGACUGCCGGUGACAAACCGGAGGAAGGUGGGGAUGACGUCAAAUCAUCAUGCCCCUUAUGACCUGGGCUACACACGUGCUACAAUGGCGUAUACAACGAGUUGCCAACCCGCGAGGGUGAGCUAAUCUCUUAAAGUACGUCUCAGUUCGGAUUGUAGGCUGCAACUCGCCUACAUGAAGUCGGAAUCGCUAGUAAUCGCGGAUCAGCACGUCGCGGUGAAUACGUUCCCGGGUCUUGUACACACCGCCCGUCACACCAUGAGAGUUUGUAACACCCAAAGCCGGUGGGGUAACCUUCGGGAGCCAGCCGUCUAAGGUGGGACAGAUGAUUAGGGUG
rnacentral:rRNA from 1 species